AUUGAACGCUGGCGGCAGGCCUAACACAUGCAAGUCGAGCGAGCGGCGGACUGGUGAGUAAUGUAUGGGGACUGCCCGACCGAGGGGGAUAACUACUGGAAACGGUGGCUACUACCGCAUACUACCGGAUACCCCAUAUGGGAUUAGCUAGUGGGUGGGGUAAAGGCUCACCUAGGCGACGAUCUCUAGCUGGCCUGAGAGGCUGAUCGGCCACACUGGGACUGAGACACGGCCCAGACUCCUACGGAGGCAGCAGUGGGGAAUAUUGCGCAAUGGGCGCAAGCCUGAUGCAGCCAUGCCGCGUGUAUGAAGAAGGCCUUAGGGUUGUAAAGUACUUUCAGCGGGGAGGCGUUACCCGCAGAAGAAGCACCGGCUAACUCCGUGCCAGCAGCCGCGGUAAUUC
rnacentral:rRNA from 1 species